GACGAACGCUGGCGGCGUGCUUAACACAUGCAAGUCGAACGGAAAGGCCCUGCUUUUGUGGGGUGCUCGAGUGGCGAACGGGUGAGUAACACGUGAGUAACCUGCCCUUGACUUUGGGAUAACUUCAGGAAAGUGGGGCUAAUACCGGAUAGGAGCUCCUGCUGCAUGGGGGGGGUUGGAAAGUUUGGGCGGUUGGGGAUGGACUCGGGGCUUAUCAGCUUGUUGGGGGGGUAGGGGCUAACCAAGGCUUUGACGGGUAGCCGGCCUGAGAGGGUGACCGGCCACAUUGGGACUGAGAUGCGGCCCAGACUCCUACGGGGGGCAACAGUGGGGAAUUUUGCACAAUGGGCGGAAGCCUGAUGCAGCAACGCCGCGUGCGGGAUGACGGCCUUCGGGUUGUAAACCGCUUUCGCCUGUGACGAAGCGUGAGUGACGGUAAUGGGGAAAGAAGCACCGGCUAACUACGU
rnacentral:rRNA from 1 species